rnacentral:rRNA from 1 species
GGCUCUUUGGGAUAAAUAUAUAAAGAGUCGAACCUGCCCAGUGAUUUUUUUUAACGGCCGCGGUACUCUGACCGUGCAAAGGUAGCAUAAUCAUUUGCCCUAUAAUUGAGGGCUUGUAUGAACGGUUUGACAAGAGCAUAACUGUCUCUUUAAAAUUUUAUAGAAUUUGGUUUUUAGGUGAAGAAACCUAAAUAUAAUUGAAAGACAAGAAGACCCUAUCGAGCUUUAGGAUAAUUAAUUAAAAAAUAUAAUUAAAAUAAUUAAUUUUAAUUAAAAACUUUGGUUGGGGCGACUGAGGAACAUACAAAGCUUCUUCAAUUAAAAUAUGCUUAUAAGCUAUGAUCCAAAAAAAUUUGAUUAAAAAAAUUAGUUACCGUAGGGAUAACAGCAUAAUCUUUUUCAAGAGUUCUUAUCGAAAAAAAGGUUUGUGACCUCGAUGUUGGACUAGGAUAUCUUAAAGAUGCAGAAGUCUUUAAAAGUUGGUCUGUUCGACCAUUAAAAUCCU